CAACAAAAUAACUCACACUAACUUACAGUAAGUUGACUCACUGUACAAGACCUCUCACCUUCACUUCACUCUACUGCAGGGUGGGAGAUGCAACAAUGUCCUUGAGAACAGCAGGAAGUGUGUUGGUGGUCUUUCUCUGGUCUGUAGCAGGUACCGUCUCAGGUACUCCUCCCCCUCGUACUCAGUCUACUUUCAAACUGAAGACAGCUUCUACUGUGCUGUAAAAGGCAUCAAUUCUCCUGCAGUGUCUGUUGAGGGUCACAGUUAUUUCCACGUGACUUACACCCAUCAGAGGAUCUGUACCUUGAAGGGGACAUCAGUGGACAUAUCCUGCUCUUAUACUUAUCCCAGUGGUCAUACAGUGUCUGAAACAAACUGGUAUACAAAAGUUAAUGAGGCGCCUCAAAACCUGAGCCCGGGGUAUGGAGGUCGUGUGGAGUACCUUGGAAAUAUGCAGAGUGACUCCAUCCUGAGAAUCACAGACCUGAGAGAGAGUGACUCAGCUGAGUAUACGAUUAGAUUCAGAACAGAUCAGACAACCUGGGAGCCCACCUUCCCUGGAACAACUCUGACUGUCACAGGUCUGCAGGUGAAGGUGACUCCUGCCACUGUGACAGAGGGACAGCAGGUGACACUGACCUGUAGCACCACCUGUACUCUGAGUGACAACCCCACCUACAUCUGGUACAAGAACGGACAUGUAACCAACCAAUCUAACAGUCUGUUCCUAAACUCAGUCAGCAGUGAGGAUGCAGGCAGAUACUCCUGUUCUGUAGAAGGACAUGAGGAUCUCCACUCUGAUGAAGAGACUCUCACUGUCAGAUAAUGUGAGGGGACCCUCCCACUGAAGAGAACCACUACAGAACCUGAACUUAAGAGAACCACCACAGAACCUGCACUGAAGAAAACCACCACAGAACAUGGACUGAAGGAAAGUACCUCAGAACAUCAACUGAAGAGAACCACCACACGUCCUUGGCUGAAGAGAACCACCACAGAACCUGCACAGAGGAGAACCACCACAGACGCUAGACUGAAGAAAAGUACCUCAGAACAUCAACUGAAGAGAACCACCACAGAUCCUGGACUGAAGAGAACCACCACAGAUCCUGGACUGAAGAGAAUCACCACAGAAGCUGGACUGAAGAGAAUCACCACAGAUCCUGGACUGAAGAGAAUCACCACAGAUCCUGGACUGAAGAGAACCAAAGUCUAUAACUUUGAGGAAAAAAUUAUGAUUAUUAGAAAGCAAAUUACAGACUCCUCUUUAAAUCUGCGUAUUCCUUCAAAGCUCAGUUGUCCUGAGUCUGCACAACUCUGCGUGGACCUAGGAUCAAGAGAGACGCUCAAGUGUUUUAGUACUAUAUCUCUUGACACAAUGAUGAAAAUAAUCAUGGCCUCUAAACCUUCAAGCUGCUUACUGGACCCUAUUCCAACUAAACUACUGAAAGAGCUGCUUCCUGUGCUUGGCCCUCCUAUGUUGAACAUAAUAAACGGCUCUCUAUCCACCGGAUGUGUACCAAACUCACUAAAAGUGGCAGUAAUAAAGCCUCUCUUGAAAAAGCCAAACCUUGACCCAGAAAAUAUAAAAAACUAUCGGCCUAUAUCGAAUCUUCCAUUCCUCUCAAAAAUCUUAGAAAAGGCUGUUGCUCAGCAACUCACUGCCUUCCUGAAGACAAACAAUGUAUAUGAAAUGCUUCAGUCUGGUUUUAGACCCCAUCAUAGCACUGAGACGGCACUUGUGAAGGUGGUAAAUGACAUUUUAAUGGCAUCGGACCGAGGCUCU